AGGACGAACGCUGGCGGCGUGCUUAACACAUGCAAGUCGAGCGGAAAGGCCCUUCGGGGUACUCGAGCGGCGAACGGGUGAGUAACACGUGAGCAACCUGCCCUUAGCUUCGGGAUAGCUCCGGGAAACCGGAAUUAAUACCGAAUAUGACUUUGGCUGACAUCAGCAGAAGUGGAAAGUUUUUCGGCUAGGGAUGGACUCGCGGCCUAUCAGCUAGUUGGUGAGGUAACGGCCCACCAAGGCGACGACGGGUAGCC
rnacentral:rRNA from 1 species